UACGGGAGGCAGCAGUGGGGAAUAUUGCACAAUGGGCGCAAGCCUGAUGCAGCCAUGCCGCGUGUAUGAAGAAGGCCUUCGGGUUGUAAAGUACUUUCAGUCGUGAGGAAGGUGUUAAGGUUAAUAACCUUAGCAAUUGACGUUAGCGACAGAAGAAGCACCGGCUAACUCCGUGCCAGCAGCCGCGGUAAUACGGAGGGUGCGAGCGUUAAUCGGAAUUACUGGGCGUAAAGGGCACGCAGGCGGUUAAUUAAGUUGGAUGUGAAAUCCCCGGGCUUAACCUGGGAAUGGCAUUCAAGACUGGUUAGCUAGAGUCUUGUAGAGGGGGUUAGAAUUCCAUGUGUAGCGGUGAAAUGCGUAGAGAUGUGGAGGAAUACCGGUGGCGAAGGCGGCCCCUGGGACAAAGACUGACGCUCAUGUGCGAAAGCGUGGGGAGCAAACAGGAUUAGAUACC
rnacentral:rRNA from 1 species